rnacentral:lncRNA from 1 species
AAAACAAAUAAAUAAAAAUUACAUUAAUUAAUUCAACAUUUACACAAUAGUCCCUAAAACUCCAAAAAUUGCAGGGAAGGACUUCUGGGACCCGGAACAGUGAUGGGAACAGUGGCGGCGCGUCUUCCCACGCGCCACCGUCACUAGCGGCGCGUGGGUUCACGCGCCGCCAAUGGAAAACCUGAAAAACAGAGGGGGCUGGAACGACUCCUUCUCCUCUUCCUUUCCUCGCCGGCGGUGAAGGUCACCGCCACCUGCAACAAGAGCAAAAACUCACAAACAGCAGUUCGUUUUAAUUUUUUUUCUUUCCGUUACAGAUCUGCUUCUCUUUGAUCUGAUUCUCUGCAGAUCGGUUCGCCCUUCUUCAGAUCGACUUUGCCCCGGGUCAGCCUCUACUUCGGGCGGCGCUGUUGGGGUCGCUGCUGUGGUCGUUGUUGCUGUCGGAGGCUGGACGGAGAGGAGAGGUCGGGGAAAAUGGUGAUGCAACCAGCGCGAUGGGGGAGCGAGGGGGAACUGCUC